rnacentral:snRNA from 1 species
UUUGGUAGUGUAAAUAUUAUAG